GGACCCGCACAAGUAGUGGAGCAUGUGGUUUAAUUCGAAGAUACGCGCAGAACCUUACCAACACUUGACAUGUUCGUCGCGACUCUAAGAGAUUAGAGUUUUCGGUUCGGCCGGACGAAACACAGGUGCUGCAUGGCUGUCGUCAGCUCGUGUCGUGAGAUGUUGGGUUAAGUCCCGCAACGAGCGCAACCCUCACUUUUAGUUGCCAUCAUUAAGUUGGGCACUCUGAAAGAACUGCCAGUGAUAAGCUGGAGGAAGGUGGGGAUGACGUCAAGUCCUCAUGGCCCUUACGUGUUGGGCUACACACGUGCUACAAUGAUAUCUACAACAGGAAGCAAGACGGCGACGUUAAGCAAAUCCUUAAAAGAUAUCUCAGUUCGGAUUGCACUCUGCAACUCGAGUGCAUGAAGCUGGAAUU
rnacentral:rRNA from 1 species